ensembl:lncRNA LRRC77P leucine rich repeat containing 77, pseudogene
GUUGUUUAUGUAAGAAUUUCAAGGCCACAACUCCAUAUUUGAAGUAAAGUGCUCAUAAAAUUAAUUGCAAGACUUCUGAAGAGAGAUUUGCUAGGAAAAAUAAAAAGAUAUAUAAAUUUCAGUGAUGCUGAAGGUUUUGAGAAGCCAUCUGCAGCUCACAACUAGAUGAGUGACACAAUCAGAUGUGCGUAUGCAAUAGGUGUAGUCCUUCCUUAGCCUGCUUUUUAAUGAGUGCUGCUAAAGCCCUUAGCCUGCCUGUUUACCCUUGGAGUGGAGCAAUGAACUGAAGAUAUUUGAGUGAGUUCAAGAGAGACUCAGAAGAGAAGAAUUGGAGGCAGCAAACAUAGACAGCACUUUUAAUGCUUUUCUCAUAUGCUGUAAGACAUGAAAGCAAUCUAUUGGGAUGAAAGCUGAAAGGAGAAGCGGGACAAGAGAAGUGAAUCCGUGGAAGACCCCCAAAAGAGGCUGCAGAUUCUUAGUGGACAGCUCUCAUAUCCCCUCCAGGGAAAAUGAUGAAAAAUGUCUUCAGAAAAAUAGCUUUAUGAAGGCAAGAGGACUUUUUGCACCUGCAAGACAUGUCUGAAAGCUCCUCAGGUCAAAACACAAGUAGUCAAGAGAUUUGUCCAUCUAAUUCAUCAUACUACUCUGAUCCAAGUGAGACCCACACUGGGUCAGCUCCAUCAAGGAGAAGAACAUUCCACCCACGUUUGGAUUCUGGAAUAUCAUCCUUGCUUCCAUCAGAUUCUUGUAAGUACCUCACUUGGCACAAGGUAGACAUGACGUUCAAGGAAGUCAACUGCGUUGCCCAAGAGUAAGAGAAGGAAUCUCUGAAGAAGAGCAACUUUUCAGACAGGUAGAGUGUGCCUUGCUCCCAAGGAAAAGAGUUCUUGAAAAAAACAAAUGGGAAACAUGGCUACAAGAAAACUGGGAAGACUGCAAGAGUAUUCUCCUGUUUGCCAAACUUAAAAAUGCUGGAUGGAAUCUUGAAGCUACCAGAAGAUUGCUUAUCACCAGAAACCAAUAUUUUUUCAAAAAUAUGCCUUGUAUCCUAAUGCAGUCUGUAUAGAAAGAAAGCAAUCAUCAUUGUUGCUAAAAGCUAAUAAACACAGGACAUGCAUGAUUAAA